AUUUCAAUUUCCUUUUUGCAUACAGUGAUUAGAAUGCUUAAAAUAUUACAAUUUAGCCUCCAUUAAAGCUAUAGUUUGGAAGAAUUUCUUUUUACUUAUUGAUUGUACUUGCAAGAGACUUUGAUUUGAGACUGAAUUGUCUUAAUAAAUAAAUGUAUAGGCUGGGCGCGGUGGCUCAUGCCUGUAAUCCCAGCACUUUGGGAGGCCGAGGCAGGUGGAUCACGAGGUCAGGAGUUUGAGACCAGCCUGACGAACAUGGUGAAAACCCAUCUCUAUUAAAAAUACAAAAAUUAGCCGGGCAUGGUGG
rnacentral:lncRNA from 1 species